ensembl:snRNA U6 U6 spliceosomal RNA
UAAGAUUAGCGUGGCCCCUGCACAAGGCUGACACACAAAUUCAUGAAGCAGUCCAUAUUUUU